CAAGACUGCUUUCAGGACGAGA
rnacentral:siRNA from 1 species